rnacentral:rRNA from 1 species
AUGAGAUCUUCUCUGGUUGAUAUCACAACUGCCAUUUUGAAAAAGGGUAACAUGUUGAGCAGAAGCUGGUCAUCUGAUCUUUUGUGCUCCUUUUGUAUUGUACCUCAAGCUAUUCCUCAGAUCUUUGUUCAAUGUGUUCCUCCUAAAUAUACAUGGGAAGUUACUGAUAUGGCAAUUGGUGCUGGUUUUCGUCAUGCCAAAACUACUACUGAGAUUGUGGUGAAUGUUUCCAUGUGCAGCAAAGUUGGUGCAGCGAUGUUGCAGCGUGUUUGUUAUUUUACUGUUUCAUUGCAACUUCAAAUAAUUUCAAAUCCCAAAGCUACUAAAGUAGAUGGCUAUCAAGUACUCUCUCUUUUUUCUUCAAAAAAAGUUAAAUACUCUUGUCUGUCCACGCUUUCGAAAACUCCGUAG